UACGUAGGGUGCAAGCGUUGUCCGGAAUUAUUGGGCGUAAAGAGCUCGUAGGCGGUCUGUCGCGUCGGCUGUGAAAACUCGGGGCUCAACUCCGAGCUUGCAGUCGAUACGGGCAGGCUAGAGUUCGGCAGGGGAGACUGGAAUUCCUGGUGUAGGCGGUGAAAUGCGCAGAUAUCAAGGAGGAACACCGAUGGCGAAGGCAGGUCUCUGGGCCGAUACUGACGCUGAGGAGCGAAAGCGUGGGGAGCGAACAGG
rnacentral:rRNA from 1 species